GACGAACGCUGGCGGCGUGCUUAACACAUGCAAGUCGAGCGGUAAGGCCCUUUCGGGGGGUACACCGAGCGGCGAACGGGUGAGGUAACACGUGGGUGACCUGCCCUUAGCUCUGGGAGUAAGCCCUGGGAAACUGGGUCUAAUACCGGAUAUGACUCCAUAACGCAGUGUUGUGGGGUGGAAAGCCUUGUGCCGGCUAGGGAUGGGCCCGCGGCCUAUCAGCUUGUUGGUGGGGUGAUGGCCACCAAGGCGACGACGGGUAGCCGGCCUGAGAGGGCGACCGGCCACACUGGGACUGAGACACGG
rnacentral:rRNA from 1 species